UUGAUAUCGUUUAUUAUAGGCCUAUUGCUAUUCACUCUACUAUAGUCUGACCAACUGUUUGAAUUUGUUGACUGCGCAAUUGACUAUUGUUUUUGUUUUUGCCAAGUAGGCUUCCAUACCCAUAACUGGAGGACUGCACCCAGAGAAUGUCACAGCGUGUCACGUCCCCUCCCCUAAAACGAUUUAUAGUUUAGUUUAUGGAUUAUAAUAGUCGCCUCGAUGAACACGAAGUAUAAAAUAUUCUUGGCUAUGUAAAAUACAGCUCCACCUAGCAGAAGAAAUCAGAUCACCAAGUUGUGUGUCCAAGAAGAGUGACCAGUCCAUGGAUCCAUCACUCCUCCACUCUGGAGAAGGAAGUGUUCCUGCUGGUCAGAGCUCCAUCCAGCAGAAGAGAUCACCCUCUCCUGUACUGAGUUGCCGGUCCAUGGAACC